GCCUCCAUAGCUCAGUGGAUUAGAGCAGCGGGUUUCUACCCCGUUGGUCCCGGGUUCGAAUCCUGGUGGGGGCAC
rnacentral:tRNA from 1 species